rnacentral:rRNA from 1 species
GACAGAGGGGGCAAGCGUUGCUCGGAAUUACUGGGCGUAAAGGGCGCGUAGGCGGAAUGGCAAGUCGGUCGUGAAAUCCUUCGGCUCAACCGAAGAACGUCGAUCGAAACUGCCGUUCUUGAGGAUUGCAGAGGAGACUGGAAUUCCCGGUGUAGCGGUGAAAUGUGUAGAGAUCGGGAGGAACACCGGUGGCGAAGGCGGGUCUCUGGGCAAUUCCUGACGCUGAGGCGCGAAAGCUAGGGGAGCGAACGGG